rnacentral:rRNA from 3 species
GAUGACUCUCGGCAACGGAUAUCUAGGCUCUUGCCACGAUGAAGAACGUAGCGAAAUGCGAUACUUGGUGUGAAUUGCAGAAUCCCGUGAACCAUCGAGUUUUUGAACGCAAGUUGCGCCCGAGGCCACCUGGCCAAGGGCACGCC